ACAUCAUAGCUGGGGAACAGGGAUUCACAAGACCCAGGCUGUUCCCUACAUAUUUUUCCUCCUCAGACAUCAGUUCAUCAGUCAAUCAAGUCAUGUGAGAGUGGAGGCCAUGUAUUCCGUAUUCUUGGGCACUCUCCUCCAAGGAGGAAAAGGCCAGGAGGUCCUGUUAGAGGAUGCACUC
rnacentral:lncRNA from 1 species